rnacentral:rRNA from 1 species
AACGAACGCUGGCGGCAUGCCUAACACAUGCAAGUCGAACGAGACCUUCGGGUCUAGUGGCGCACGGGUUCGUAACGCGUUGGAACCUGCCCUUAGGUUCGGAAUAACUCCCCGAAUGGGGUGCUAAUACCGGUUAAUGUCUUCUGACCAAAGAUUUAUCGCCUUUGGAUGGGCCCGCGUUGGAUUAGCUUGUUGGUAGGGUAAAAGCCUACCAAGGCGACGAUCCAUAGCUGGUCUGAGAGGAUGAUCAGCCAGACUGGGACUGAGACACGGCAGAGACUACUACGGGAGGCAGCAGUGGGGAAUAUUGGAAAAUGGGCGAAAGCCUGAUCAAGCAAUGACGCGUGAGUGAUGAAGGCAUUAGGGUUGUAAAGCUCUUUUACCCGGGAUGAUAAUGACAGUACCGGGAGAAUAAGCUCCGGCUAACUCCGUG